rnacentral:rRNA from 1 species
UACAGAGGGUGCAAGCGUUGUUCGGAAUUAUUGGGCGUAAAGCGCACGUAGGCGGCUUUCUAAGUCAGGGGUGAAAUCCUGGAGCUCAACUCCAGAACUGCCUUUGAUACUGGAGAGCUUGAGUCCGGAAGAGGUGAGUGGAACUCCGAGUGUAGAGGUGAAAUUCGUAGAUAUUCGGAAGAACACCAGUGGCGAAGGCGGCUCACUGGUCCGGUACUGACGCUGAUGUGCGAAAGCGUGGGGAGCAAACAGG